rnacentral:rRNA from 1 species
GACGAACGCUGGCGGCGUGCUUAACACAUGCCAGUCGAACGGAAAGGCCCUGCUUUUGUGGGGUGCUCGAGUGGCGAACGGGUGAGUAACACGUGAGUAACCUGCCCUUGACUUUGGGAUAACUUCAGGAAACUCGGGCUAAUACCGGAUAGGAGCUCCUGCUGCAUGGUGGGGGUUGGAAAGUUUCGGCGGUUGUGGAUGGACUCGAGGCUUAUCAGCUUGUUGGUGAGGUAGUGGCUUACCAAGGCUUUGACGGCUAGGCGGCCUGGGAGGGUGACCGGGCACAUUGGGACUGCGGUAGGGCCCAGACUGCAACGGGAGGCAGCAGUGGGGAAUAUUGCACAAUGGGCCGGCGUCUGAUGCAACAGUGCCGCGUGCGGGAUGACGGCUUUCGGGGUGUAAACCGCUUUCGAAUGUAAUGAAGCGUGAGUGACGGUAACGGGUCAGAAAGCACCGGCUAACUACGUG